rnacentral:lncRNA from 1 species
UCAGGGACAUAACUAACAUGAAUAGAAUAAGGACAAAACCAAGAGAAUUAUAUUUAAAGCAUGAGAAUAUUUCGAAUUUCUAUCAAUGUAAAGCAUGUUCAAGCUGCGACCUCGUUAGUUCAUGACUGCACAUGUGUCCUGUCAGGUGAUGUGCAUCACAUUAAACUCUCAAUUUUACUCUUUUGUCAUGUUUAUAUAAUUUAUCAUCUAUAUUAAAGCUACACUGAAUUAGUAUUGGUAUUAGUUUACACAACACAAUGCUUCGAUUCGGCAUUCAUAUGUAAAUUAUACCACGUGUACUUUCGGUCAUUUUUUUUUUUAUCUUUGUUUG